ACCCCUAGUGGUAGGUGGGUGAAUGAGCAGAAAAUGCACACCACAACUCAAUGGUAAAUAAAUAAUGGCAUACAUGAAUAGAAAAACAGAGUUUGACACCUACAGCGGUGCUUUAUUGCUCCGUUUCACUCAAUCAUCCUCUUUUUUUUUUUUUUUUUUGCAUUCCAACCCCUUUUGCUUUACCUGAGAAAAUAACACAAAGGAGAUCACUGUCUCUGUCUUAGUCAUUGUGUUCAUAUUCCAAAGAUAAUUAUCAAUGCAAACAUAUAAUUAGUCUUUCAAAUACGGGCUUCAAAAUUAAACGCCUGUGAACUAAAAGCAACCUGACAAAUCUUAAUCUGGGCAAACUGAGAAAAACAAUGCAUUGUAUUCUGCGCUGUUCUCAUUAAGAUGACAGACAUCUCGGUUCACCUGGAGAGUGCGGUGUUAAUUUUGCUCACUCACACCCUUCAUCCCAUUGAUCUUUCUUCAUCAGUUAAGCCAGUAACACAGACUCAUUAGGAAUGUUUAAAACACUGAAGUUAAGGCUAAUUAAAGGCUCACAGUUUAACUAUCUGCAGAUGUUUUGGGUGAGUUAAGACUCAAAGAAGAAAAAAUGAUUUUAAAGAAUGAACAGGAGGGUUUUGUUAAGAACAGGAACGGGAAAGGUUUUUGCAUAAAUUGUGCACUGACCUUUAGCGAGCACUGGCGUCUCAUGCAUAGUCAAGCACUGAGAUUUUACCCUUGUUAACUACACUAAAAUUAAAGACCUCACGCAUGUAACACACACACACACAGACACAUUCACAAACUUAAGGUCUCCCCCUCAAAGAAUGACUGUGACUACAUAAGGGAAGGAAACCUUUAAUAAAAAAAGCUUUGUGUGAGCUGCCUACAAAAUCAACAUUUUACCACAUGUUGUUCAAAGUCUAUGUUGCCCUCUAAGAUACCAGCUCUUUGUACAAAUUGGCACCAAAUCAGCAUAUUCAAAUGAUUUCUGAAGGAUCAUGUGACACUGAAGACUAAUUAAAUUAAGAUUUGCAGUUUUAAACUCAAACGAAUCAGCUGUGAAGCUCAUUCAUCCAUCCAUUAAUUGAUGUCCACCUAAGAUUAACAGCCAGUACACAAUACUGUUAAUACGAUUUCUAGGUAGGUAAAGUUUAGCAAAACUACUUACUACUUCAGUUGAUCUACAGUAUACUCUAUAUUCUAUUCUGAGAAAAAUAGAAUGGCAAACAUGUCAAAUAAAAGAGCCUGUGAAAUGCACAUGCAGUCUGCGGAGAUUCAUGGGCAGAGAAAGAAAAUAAUUUGAGGGAAAUAUCCGUUGCACUUCACGUAUACAGAGUUUUUAUGAUGCCCAUUUUGCUGCUUACUUAGUGUUCCAAAUCGGUCACUUAUGAGAUCGCAUAUCAGUUAGUAUGUUGCUCUAGAGUAGGACAAGAGCAGAAAGAGAGAGACAGAGGAGUUGCACAGGAGGACAAGGCUCUCUCCAUUUCAGUGGCAAAAUUCAAGCUGAAUCUUAUCUCUGAAAGAGUUGAAAAAGAUAAAAAAUAAAAGAUAAAAAGAUAAAACAUGUUUGCGUGGUUAAUAAUUAAUUGCGUAUGGCAUAUUUCAUCUUUAAUGUGCAUCACUGGGGGCUGACUUCACCCACACACCCCCAGAGGCAUAACAGGAAGGACACAGAAAUGACAGUGUGUGUGUGUGUGUGUGUGUGUUAUUAAACAUUAACUUUUUGAGUUUAUAACUAGGAUACAUAAAAGCAACAGAAGAACAGUCAUAGGGAAAGGACUUCAUUGAAACAACUCCCAGUACUUCGGUACCAACUUGGUACUAAAAAAGGAAAAUGUUACGUUUCCAAUUACCCGGUCAACCCGGUUCUUGAUGGACUAGCCGAAAAGUGCGCAGAUGUGCUCUCUUCAUAAAAGCAGUGAGAUGUGUCGAUAUCAAAAUGAGGAAACAUCAAACUAACAAAACACUAUGAAAGACAGAAACCAAGAUCAAAUGAAAGAGUUCAAGCAGAUGCAGGGAACCGCUGCUCUCACCUCAUCUUUACAUGGCUUACUCUUGAGCUAGCGAAUUAUGAACACUGGAUCUACCAAGCUGAUGCGUAUGGACCCUUCUUUUGAGUCGUAGGUAAGAUUCGGCUCAAUGCUCAGUCAGCAGGCAUAUAUUACUCCACGUGACACGAGUUGCUGCUGACCUUAUUUCAGAGUAGUGACAUAUCUCCAGUUUAAACCGAAUAUUAAUUAGCAGGCAUGGUUUGUUUGCACUCCUGGUCUCCGUCUCAAGGCGCGGUCACACUAGACUUUAAACAUGCGAAAUUAUUUCGAACGCCACUGCGAAUAUGGGCGGGAGCAAGAUAAAACAGUCUCCCCUCAAUUUUCACAAGAUGGAUUAUUAUGUUCUAGCACUGUGUCUUUUGCAACGGCGUCGAAAGCGUUUUAUAUUGUAACGUUACUCUGUAUCUCUCUAUAAAUAUAUACACCCUAAGGGGAGAAGGGGGAGAAGAAAGCGA